rnacentral:rRNA from 1 species
GGGGGGGGGGGGGGGGGGGCGGAGGAGAGGCGGGGCGGGCGGGCGGGCGGGGGGCGGGCUGGUCGGAUGUUAGCGGCGGGCGGGUGAGGAACACGUGGAUAACCUACCUAUAAGACUGGGAUAACUUCGGGAAACCGGAGCUAAUACCGGAUAAUAUUUUGAACCGCAUGGUUCAAAAGUGAAAGACGGUCUUGCUGUCACUUAUAGAUGGAUCCGCGCUGCAUUAGCUAGUUGGUAAGGUAACGGCUUACCAAGGCAACGAUGCAUAGCCGACCUGAGAGGGUGAUCGGCCACACUGGAACUGAGACACGGUCCAGACUCCUACGGGAGGCAGCAGUAGGGAAUCUUCCGCAAUGGGCGAAAGCCUGACGGAGCAACGCCGCGUGAGUGAUGAAGGUCUUCGGAUCGUAAAACUCUGUUAUUAGGGAAGAACAUAUGUGUAAGUAACUGUGCACAUCUUGACGGUACCUAAUCAGAAAGCCACGGCUAACUACGUG